AUGGCUCCUACUGAGGCUGAGGCUGAUGUAGCGGAGGGAGAAGAGAAGAAGAAGAGGGAAAGGAAAGCAGCCGGAGCUGCUUUCACAUGGAUUCAAACUCACUUUGCGACGUGCCCUCCGGAUGCCACUGAUGAUGUGAUCCAGACACAUGCUCGUGUCUACAUGUGGUAUGUUGUGUCGAGGACAUUGUUUCCUGACUCCACUGGCAAGAACGCUCCAUGGAUGUAG
rnacentral:rRNA from 1 species